rnacentral:rRNA from 1 species
GACGAACGCUGGCGGCGUGCUUAACACAUGCAAGUCGAACGGAAAGGCCCUGCUUUUGUGGGGUGCUCGAGUGGCGAACGGGUGAGUAACACGUGAGUAACCUGCCCUUGACUUUGGGAUAACUUCAGGAAACUGGGGCUAAUACCGGAUAGGAGCUCCUGCUGCAUGGUGGGGGUUGGAAAGUUUCGGCGGUUGGGGAUGGACUCGCGGCUUAUCAGCUUGUUGGUGGGGUAGUGGCUUACCAAGGCUUUGACGGGUAGCCGGCCUGAGAGGGUGACCGGCCACCUUGGGACUGAGAUACGGCCCAGACUCCUACGGGAGGCAGCAGUGGGGAAUAUUGCACAAUGGGCGGAAGCCUGAUGCAGCAACGCCGCGUGCGGGAUGACGGCCUUCGGGUUGUAAACCGCUUUCGCCUGUGACGAAGAGUGAGUGACGGUAAUGGGUAAAGAAGCACCGGCUAACUACGUG